CUCCCAUCUAAGAUCCCCACAUACAUUCCACGGCUUUCUACCACUUGAUAUUGCUUUACACGCAUCAAAUAGCAGAGCACCUGAAGAAUAUACGGAUUUUAAUACCGUCUUAUUAAUUAGGGUCCCCUGAGAAUCUCCAUUUCUGAGAGUCAACCAAAUUGUACGGGGUUGAUACUCAGGACUGAAGCACUUAGGUUCUCC